rnacentral:rRNA from 1 species
AUGACUAAAGACAACUUGCUUAAGAGAGGGAUUGACAAAACUCCAGGAUGCCUAUUCUGCUCUGACCAAGAAACAAUAGAUCACCUGCUUUUUGGUUGUGUAGUGGCAAAAAGCAUAUGGGAGGUCUCCUCUUUUUUCUCUAUUGAUUUAGGGUCUAGUUAUCUUUCUAUUGCCAAAUUUUGGCCUGCAAACAAAAAACAUGAAGUUCUAAAUGCCUUUUGCGCCUGUGUACUAUGGUGCCUUUGGAAAAUUAGAAACAAACAUGUUUUUGAUAAUGCUAUUUGGUCUGAUAUUAAACAGAUAUGGUGGCUGGUCUGGAGGACACUCAAGAGAUGGAUAAUUCUGUACUCACAAGAUUCGCAGGAGAAAAUGCAGAGAAUCCUGUGGUGGAUAUUCUGCAUCUUCAAAGCUCCCCUGCAAUUGGAUAUGGGGUGA